UUAUCCUACGGGGGGCAGCAGUGGGGGAUAUUGCACAAUGGGGGGAACCCUGAUGCAGCGACGCCGCGUGGGCGAUGGAGUGCUUCGGCAUGUAAAUCCCUAUCAGCGGGGAAGAAAAUGACGGUACCUGACUAAGAAGCCCCGGCUAAAUACGUGCCAGCAGCCGCGGUAAUACGUAUGGGGCAAGCGUUAUCCGGAUUUACUGAGUGUAAAGGGAGCGUAGGCGGCCUGGCAAGCCUGAUGUGAAAUACCGGGGCUCAACCCCGGGGCUGCCUUGGGAACUGCCAGGCUGGAG
rnacentral:rRNA from 1 species